GACGAACGCUGGCGGCGUGCCUAAUACAUGCAAGUAGAACGCUGAAGGCGGAGCUUGCUUCUCUGGAUGAGUUGCGAACGGGUGAGUAACGCGUAGGUAACCUGCCUGUUAGUGGGGGAUAACUAUUGGAAACGAUAGCUAAUACCGCAUAAUAGCAGUUGUUGCAUGAUGACUGUUUGAAAGGUUCAAUUGCACCGCUACCAGAUGGACCUGCGUUGUAUUAGCUAGGUGGUGGGGUAACGGCUCACCAAGGCGACGAUACAUAGCCGACCUGAGAGGGUGGGCGGCCACACUGGGACGGAGACACGGCCCAGACUCCUACAGGAGGCAGCAGGAGGGAAUCUUCGGCAAGGGACGGAAAUCUGACCGAGCAACGCCGCGGGAGUGAAGAAGGAUUUCGGAUCGUAAAGCACUGUUGUAAGAGAAGAAAGAGUGUGAGAGUGGAAAGUUCACACUGUGACGGUAUCUUACCAGAAAGGGACGGCUAACUACGUG
rnacentral:rRNA from 1 species